ACUCCUACGGGAGGCAGCAGUGGGGAAUAUUGCACAAUGGGCGCAAGCCUGAUGCAGCAACGCCGCGUGCGGGAUGACGGCCUUCGGGUUGUAAACCGCUUUCAGUUCCGACGAAGCGCAAGUGACGGUAGGAACAGAAGAAGGACCGGCCAACUACGUGCCAGCAGCCGCGGUGAUACGUAGGGUCCGAGCGUUGUCCGGAAUUAUUGGGCGUAAAGGGCUUGUAGGCGGUUUGCUGCGUCGGAAGUGAAAACUCAGGGCUUAACCCUGAGCCUGCUUCCGAUACGGGCAAACUAGAGGGAUGCAGGGGAGAAUGGAAUUCCUGGUGGAGCGGUGGAAUGCGCAGAUAUCAGGAGGAACACCGGUGGCGAAGGCGGUUCUCUGGGCAUUUCCUGACGCUGAGAAGCGAAAGCGUGGGGAGCAAACAGGCUUAGAUACCCUGGUAGUCCACGCCGUAAACGGUGGGCACUAGGUGUGGGGAACAUUCCACGUUCUCCGUGCCGAAGCUAACGCA
rnacentral:rRNA from 1 species